CCUACGGGAGGCAGCAGUGGGGAAUCUUGCACAAUGGGGGAAACCCUGAUGCAGCGACGCCGCGUGAGCGAUGAAGCCCUUCGGGGCGUAAAGCUCUUUCGACAGGAACGAUAAUGACGGUACCUGGAGAAGAAGCUGCGGCUAACUACGUGCCAGCAGCCGCGGUAAUACGUAGGCAGCAAGCGUUGUUCGGAGUUACUGGGCGUAAAGAGUGCGUAGGCGGUUCUGCAAGUCCGGUGUGAAAUCUCCCGGCUCAACUGGGAGGGUGCGCCGGAAACUGCGGAGCUGGAGUAUGGGAGAGGCAAGCGGAAUUCCUGGUGUAGCGGUGAAAUGCGUAGAUAUCAGGAGGAACACCGGUGGUGUAGACGGCUUGCUGGACCAUGACUGACGCUGAGGCACGAAAGCGUGGGGAGCAAACAGGAUUAGAUACCCGGGUAGUC
rnacentral:rRNA from 1 species